AAGCUGGAUUAGAAGUGUUUGGAAAGACACACCAUAGAGAGUGAAAGUCUCGUAUAGGUACAGUUUUAUAAAUCUUAUGGGUAUCCUGAGUAGGUCGGGGCACGUGGAACCUUGACUGAAUCCGCCGGGACCAUCCGGUAAGGCUAAAUACUCCUGAGAGACCGAUAGUGAACUAGUACCGUGAGGGAAAGGUGAAAAGAACCGUGAAUAACGGAGUGAAAUAGACCCUGAAACCAUACGCCUACAAGCGGUUGGAGCAGCUACGGCUGUGACAGCGUGCCUUUUGCAUAAUGAGCCUACGAGUUACUGUUACCAGCGAGGAUAAGUAUUUCAGAUACGAAUCCGCAGCGAAAGCGAGUCUGAAUAGGGCGGCUAAUAGUUGGUAGUAGUAGACGCGAAACCUGGUGAUCUACCCUUGGGCAGGUUGAAGCGCUGGUAACACAGCGUGGAGGACCGAACUGGUUGUCGUUGAAAAGACUUCGGAUGACCUGAGGGUAGGGGUGAA
rnacentral:rRNA from 1 species